AACGAACGCUGGCGGCAGGCCUAACACAUGCAAGUCGAGCGCCCCGCAAGGGGAGCGGCAGACGGGUGAGUAACACGUGGGAACGUGCCCGAAGGUACGGAACAACUCCGGGAAACUGGAGCUAAUACCGUAUGUGACCGAGAGGUGAAAGAUUUAUCGCCUUCGGAUCGGCCCGCGUCUGAUUAGCUAGUUGGUGGGGUAAUGGCCUACCAAGGCUACGAUCAGUAGCUGGUCUGAGAGGAUGAUCAGCCACACUGGGACUGAGACACGGCCCAGACUCCUACGGGAGGCAGCAGUGGGGAAUCUUGGACAAUGGGCGCAAGCCUGAUCCAGCCAUGCCGCGUGGAUGAUGAAGGCCCUAGGGUUGUAAAAUCCUUUCGUCAGGGACGAUAAUGACGGUAGUCGGAGAAGAAGCCCCGGCUAACUUCGUGCCAGCCGCCGCUGUAAUAC
rnacentral:rRNA from 1 species